UACGGGGGGUGCGAGCGUUGUCCGGAAUCACUGGGCGUAAAGGGCGCGUAGGUGGCUUUGUAAGUUUGCGGUGAAAGCCCGGGGCUCAACCCCGGGUCUGCCGUGGAUACUGCAAGGCUUGAGUACUGUAGAGGCAGGUAGAAUAUCGGGUGUAGCGGUGGAAUGCGUAGAGAUCCGAUAGAAGACCGGUGGCGAAGGCGGCCUGCUGGGGCAGUAACUGACACUGAGGCGCGACAGCGUGGGGAGCAAACAGG
rnacentral:rRNA from 1 species